ACCACCUUUAGAUGCGAUUUUGUGGAGUGUGAGGAGCUAAUCGCCUUCAUACCUGUAUAUUCGUGUACUUGGGGUGUACUUAUUCGUGGGGUAAGUUAACAUCAAUUUUGGUGGUCAUAAAAUGACUGGAGGAAUGUAGCUUCGAUCUCGUAUUGAAGUGUUAUAGCCUUCGGUAGAUGUGAUGAUCGAGAUUGAGGAUUGCAACGGAUACCCUUCGGGGCUACCUGUCUGGUCUCUGAUUGUUGCUCUGGUGCCGAAAGCUUGCUUACGGUUAUCAAAGUCGAUGGUCAAUAGGUUAGAACGGGUUAAAUUCGUUAAGGAUGUUGACGUAAUGGCUUU
rnacentral:rRNA from 1 species